rnacentral:rRNA from 1 species
UACGUAGGGUGCGAGCGUUAAUCGGAAUUACUGGGCGUAAAGCGUGCGCAGGCGGUUUGUUAAGACAGAUGUGAAAUCCCCGGGCUUAACCUGGGAACUGCAUUUGUGACUGGCAAGCUAGAGUAUGGCAGAGGGGGGUAGAAUUCCACGUGUAGCAGUGAAAUGCGUAGAGAUGUGGAGGAAUACCGAUGGCGAAGGCAGCCCCCUGGGCCAAUACUGACGCUCAUGCACGAAGGCGUGGGGAGCAAACAGG